UACGUAGGGCGCAAGCGUUGUCCGGAUUUAUUGGGCGUAAAGAGCUCGUAGGUGGUUCAGCAAGUCGGGUGUGAAAGCUCUGGGCUCAACCCAGAGAUGCCACCCGAUACUGCUGUGACUAGAGUCAGGUAGGGGAUCGCGGAAUUCCAGGUGUAGCGGUGAAAUGCACAGAUAUCUGGAGGAACACCAGCGGCGAAGGCGGCGAUCUGGGCCUGUACUGACACUGAGGAGCGAAAGCGUGGGGAGCGAACAGG
rnacentral:rRNA from 1 species